GACGAACGCUGGCGGCGUGCUUAACACAUGCAAGUCGAACGGAAAGGCCCUGCUUUUGUGGGGUGCUCGAGUGGCGAACGGGUGAGUAACACGUGAGUAACCUGCCCUUGACUUUGGGAUAUCUUCAGGAAACUGGGGCUAAUACCGGAUAGGAGCUCCUGCUGCAUGGUGGGGGUUGGAAAGUUUCGGCGGUUGGGGAUGGACUCGCGGCUUAUCAGCUUGUUGGUGGGGUAGUGGCUUACCAAGGCUUUGACGGGUAGCCGGCCUGAGAGGGUGACCGGCCACAUUGGGACUGAGAUACGGCCCAGACUCCUACGGGAGGCAGCAGUGGGGAAUAUUGCGCAAUGGGCGGAAGCCUGAUGCAGCAACGCCGCGUGCGGGAUGACGGCCUUCGGGUUGUAAACCGCUUUCGCCUGUGACGAAGCGUGAGUGACGGUAAUGGGUAAAGAAGCACCGGCUAACUACGUG
rnacentral:rRNA from 1 species